rnacentral:rRNA from 1 species
UACGUAGGGUCCAAGCGUUAUCCGGAAUCACUGGGCGUAAAGCGUGCGUAGGUGGCGCGUUAAGUGUGAUGUUAAAUCGUGGGGCUCAACCCUGUCGGUGCAUCACAUACUGGCGUGCUAGAGAACAGCAGAGGCAAGUGGAAUUAGCAGUGUAGCAGUGAAAUGCGUAGAUAUUGCUAGGAACACCAAUGGCGAAGGCAGCUUGCUGGGCUACUCCUGACACUGAUGUACGAAAGCGUGGGGAGCGAACAGG